AAGUGGUCCCAACGCCCACCAGCAGACCUUCAUCCCAGAGAGAAACCUCUUUCACCAGGAGGGUAGCGCAGAGCUGGGGUGGGUUUUUAGGCAGGGACAGGUCUCUGUCCUUGGAGGCCCUCCUUCCUGGAGGUUUCCAAACGGAGCUAAGGAAAGCAGUGGCUGCCUUGCUCUGCCCCUUGUGGCACGUCCACUUUGAGCUGCAAGUUGGACCAGAGAGCCCCAGCCAACAUAACUUUGGUACAGUGAGUCUGAAAAAUCACCCAGGGUGAUUUUAGGGGAAGGAUGAUUUUAGGGAUUUUUUGCUUAGGGGAAGGUUUCAGGAAAUCCCAGGUCAGUCCAAACAAAGGUUUCCUUGAAGCAGCUUCAGAGAGUGAAAUUUGAGGUUCCCAACCCCAGAUCUCUAGCUCAAACCCUAGCUGGCCUUCCAGCCACUGCAUCCAACUCUAGAGGGGGAGACGAGACAAGCAGAUGACGAGAAGCAUUCAACAGCAUCCUCUCAAAACAUUUUGCUCCCUUUCUGUUUUCUCUCUGUUACACUUGAGCAGUUUCUGAUGCCAUUUGCACUCUGCAUGCUGCUGAGCGUGCUGAAAGUUGCUGAACACCUUCCCAGUGCUGCAAAGCCUCAGCUUUCAUUUACUUUGAGAGAAGUGGCUGACACACCACACACCGUAGGAUGUUUUCCUGCUGGGCCUAUGCAAAGAGGAGCUCGGGCACUCAUUUGUUGUCUCUUGGAUCUGGAUUUAAUGGCACCCUCAGACUGCAGUCACACUGCACACCUGGAGGCAACGCCAUCCAUCGCUGCGGGGCUGGUGCUGGAGCACAGGGCCCACUGUGCCCCUCUCCUCCCAAAACACCCCCGUGCUUCGUUUUCAACCAAGGAGCAAGGAGGAAUCUGUACGUUAAGUACUGAGAAGUGAGUAACCUGCUGCCAUUGCCCAGGGUUGCAGCCCCUUUCAAUGUCCUCGUAUUUGAUAUCUGCCCCCAGCGUGCAGACCAAAAGAGCUAUUUGUAAAUCUCGACUGCUUUUUAAAAUGGAGGUGUCCAGGUCUUCCUGAACUGACUUAUUUCACGUUGCUCAGCGCCACCUCUCUGUUUUAAAUGUAGUAUCUUAAAUCUCUCAGGAAUAUCUUGAAUUUAAUAUCUGAAAUUUCUCAAGAGCACAGUUAGGCCAAUUGCUUCCUGCUACAAACUCCCCAUUUCCACAGGAAAAGACUUCUGUUACGCCAAACUCAGAAUGACGUUUCGCAGCUGGCUCUCCCCAGUGGUGCAGCUUCAUGGUGGGCUUGGUUUGGGGAGCUCAAUCCUUUUGCUAAGAGCUUCAGCCCCAUGUGUGUCUGUGGGGAAAUACCGGUGAGGAAGGGGCAGCAGUGGCUGGGCGAGUGAUGGGAAGGCUGCGAGGCAGCCCGACCACUCGCUAUGAAGAUAUGCUGAUAGAUUUAUUAUAUUUAUACUUGGAGUUAUCUUACCGUGAAGCAAACACAAGCAUCCACCACCACUUAAAGCUAUGUGACUUCGUUAUAUUUGAUCCAUGUCGUGGCUCCCACUUGCAUCGCAGUGGAAAGCACAGGUAGCAAAAGCACCAGCUUUCUGGGGGGACUUUAUUUCUUCCCAGUGUCUCAGCAGUCUCACACAAGCUGUCUAACCCUCUGCGUGAAACACCCUUCAGUUUUGCAGAAUCAAUCCAGAAUUCAGCAGCACACACCCCAAGCUUUUAUUAUUAUUUACAUUUUUAUAGCGCACAGAUGCAGAUAAUAGGCAUUGAAGUAUUCAAGGUAAAUAAUGCGCUUUAAAAUCUUUGUAAAAAAAAAAAAAAACACACGCCGCAAAACAGUCUGGUUAGCAGACACUACCUAGGCAUUCGAAGCCUAAUUAUAUUCUUAGUCAAUUCUGAUUUACAUUUAAAUUACAAAUUGCGUUUUGCUAGCGUUAAUUUACAAUGCUCCUUAAAAAAAAAAAAAUACAUAUUCCAUGGUACAUGAAUAAUAAUUCGAAGCAGUCAGAUCUGGCUGGGUUGCUAUGAUCUCUCGAUAGUGGGUGCUGAAUAUUAAUAUUUCUAGAAAGUUUUCUCCAUUUCGGCGUAGCGUUUCUCAAGCCCUGCAGCAUUGUAAUUCAGCCAGCCCUCCGUGGUGCAGCCGGUUGCCAUAGGAUUUGCAGCACAAUCUGCCUGCACAUGCAUUUUUUAGAAGACUGCAGCGUGGAAAAAAGGCCCUGGAACAUGGACACUCGUCACAGGGCCGGAACAAGGAGCUUUCUAUGAAUCACCGCCGGCUGUGGCCGAGCUAAAUGUCAAGAACUGAGCGGGACAGAUUCACACCAGUAUGGGCUGGGAGGUUUUCGAGGAACAGCAGGAGGGGAGCACAGGGUUGGUCGCAGCCCUGGUGCAGUGUGUUAGGGUACAUUUUGCUCCAAGACUUUUUGCUUAAAUAUUUUUUCUUGCUCAAAACCUUUUUUUUUAAAGAUCAUGAGCAAUAUGAUUUCAGUUUUGUUUUCCCAGAAAGCUUCUUUUUUAAUUUUCUUUUCU